AUUUUGGGCAACGGUCUGUUUGGCCGAGAGGUUUGCCAUUGGAAAAUGUGGGUGAAAUUGGACACGAGGAGUUUUAUACUGAGAUUUUUGGUGGAAAGCAGCUUAUCCAGCAAGGGAUCUCGAAUGGUUUACCGGAUGUGGAUUCGGUGUUCUAUUUUACUAGGAAGGCAGGGUUUGAAGCAUUUGAUAUUAGAUUUGAUGAGCA
rnacentral:misc_RNA from 1 species